rnacentral:rRNA from 1 species
UACGUAGGGUGCAAGCGUUGUCCGGAAUUAUUGGGCGUAAAGAGCUCGUAGGCGGUUUGUCGCGUCGGCUGUGAAAGCCCGGGGCUCAACCCCGGGCCUGCAGCCGAUACGGGCAAACUAGAAUUCGGUAGGGGAGACUGGAAUUCCUGGUGUAGCGGUGAAAUGCGCAGAUAUCAGGAGGAACACCGGUGGCGAAGGCGGAUCUCUGGGCCUGUUCUGACGCUGAGGCGCGAAAGCUAGGGGAGCGAACAGG